GACGUGUCAAUUUAUCGAUAUUUCUCUUUCUUUGCUCAUCUUAUUUCAUCUCCGUAUGUGUUUAUCUUCCUUUUCCACUGCUACUUCUCUGAUUCGUGUCUUACAUCUGAUUUUUUCCACCUUCUUGAUCUUCUACCACCGAUUCAUUUCGAUGGCCAUAUAACUGCCUUCUUCUCUCUCAUCCUAAUGCCGACUACCCUGUUCAACGUCUUCACAGACCCUUUGUCUCCAUCUCCGCUCAUAAUUAUAUCCAGAAGCUAUCGAUAGACAACCAAAUAUUAGGGCCGGGUUUUCGGUUCAUCAGACGUUUAAUUAGCCAGUUUAAUUAGCCAGGUACCGAUGUCCUUUAUGACGAAGAAGAAAAGAAUAACGAAGACGAAAUUAUGAUAGCGAAAGCUCAGGGAUUGAUAGACAAGAUCAUCGCCUCUCCUCAUAACCCUAAGCCCAUAUGUCUUCAUGCCCUAGCCUCCAUUCUCGAAACCCAAGAAGCCAGAUGAGUGAAGUGCACACUUGAAGGAACAUCUCUUGAAGGCCCAAUUCUCAGUAGUUCUGCAGCUUUGACACAACUAGAAAAUUUGUAAGAUCAAAUUUAGAAAUAAUUGGAGGUUUAAUCUGGAUUAUAUGUUAAUUGAUUUAAUCUAUUUGUUCCAUUAUGUUGUUUUUAUUAUAGGACAGUUGGAGAUCUAGAUGGUGACUAUUCAACAGUUCAUUAAAACUUCAAAUCACUUCCUCAGAUGCACAUGCACAUACACACAAUAAUACUGAUAAAAGUAGCCAACAUAUUCAAGCAUUGCCAUUAAUAUAUUAAGAUAACUUUUUUUUUUUACCAUAAAUUUAUGAAAUUUAAUAUAUUUAUGUUUUUCCGUGUUGAUCAAAAGUUGUUGUUGGAGAUGAUCAGAUGUGAUAUAAUCAGAUCAAAUUUCAAGUUGAAUUUGAUGUUAUCUUAAGCUGAAUAUGAUAAGAUUUGAAAGAUUAAGCUGAUCAGCUAUAAGUUACUAUUCAAGCUUAUCAGAAACUGCUGUCCUAGGUGAUCAGUUCUGAUCUGGCCGAGUUCAUCUGGUUUGAAGCUGAUUGUUGUAUAUGAAGUUAUCCGAAUCUAAAAUUGAUCAGCUUUGGAAGAUUAAUGUAAAGGAUUUGUUGUUAACCAGAUACUCUUUUGAUCUUUUCUGUCUCUAUUAUUAUCUAAUUUUAAAAUAAAUUACAAAGGUUUUCCUUUUUUUAUGUUUUUUGUCAUGUUCCAAGUGAAAUGGCUAUAUUACCCUUUUCUGAUUUUUAUUUUUUAUAAAUCAAACGGUAAUAUUGUCAAUUGCUUAAAACAUGAACAAAAAACUGAAGCCAUUAGUCUAGGCCUAAGUUUUGUUGUUGUCUGCCAAUUAAAGGGGAUACUCACAACUUCACAAUCUUCUUAAGUCUUGCAUUCACAGGUUGUCUUUGUUUUAUAUCAUAAAAGGGAAAACCAAAAAAAUCCUUUCUUAAAAUAAUAUUAAAUUCUACGUAAUUCCUUAUUUUGUUUUAUUUUUUCCCAUCUAGAUACUCACAAAUUGAUGACUGAGGCAAAGGGGGAGAAAACAUCAAUAGCCAAUCUUCACGAACACGUUUAGCAAAUUGAUUUGCAAGUUGGUGCAAGUUCACUCCACAAGAAUGAUCUCUCUCCACCAAGGGCAAAAAGGUCAUUUUUUUCUAAAUUAUGAAAAUUAAAAUUUUAUUUGUAUUUAUAGAUAAGCCAAAAUGAGAAAUAUGAUAGCACAAAAGGUUUCCAUUUUUCUAUUUUGUGGUUCUUUUUUUGCGUAGUGUUUGACAAGAUGUAGGUGGGAUCUUCUGUGAAUAUAGUAAAAGGUUGAACCGAGUUGUGCAGCUCCGUUGCCAAGUGUCAUGUUAUGAGUGUUGCAUGUGGUUCAACGCAUUUCUUGGUGGUGCUUGAUAGGUCAAAUAUGGGGAAAUGGCUUGACAAGAAAGGGCAUAUAGUAUUGUGUUAGCCGAAAGAGUUGUGGUAAAUUUGAUCCAAAGAAUGAGUGGCAUAACCACACUCACAAAGAUAACAAUAAAUCAGUCUCUGAAGCAGGUAUCAUCUUUAUUAUGGGAAUUAUGAGCUUGGUCCACGACUGGAGGUGCUCAUGUAGUAUGCAAAGCACACUGUAAAUGUCAGUAGCUAUUUGGUUCCAAUUUGAAGUUUUGGAUAAAUGAGCAGACACAGCCGAGAUUUUUGAUUCCUCCGAUUUUGAAUUUGAAUAUGAAAACCUCUAUCUUCAUUUGUGUUUUAUUUUUCUGGCAUGGUCAACUCUACAUAACACCAUAUCAAGUGGAGAAAAAGGGAAAUGGACAUGAUGAUAUGACAUCAACAACUGAAAAACAUGGUGAACUGCCAAAAAUGCCUACUUCACAGUAUUGUAAAAAUUUCAGUUCAUAGGAGCACAUCAGGUCCCUCUGCCCCCCGCUAAGCGGGGGUUACGAAUCUAGUUAGUAGUUUAGUUGAUUACAUAUUAAUAGUUAACAUGAUACCUUAAGAGUUGCAAUAAAUUAAACAUUUACUAUCACAAAAACCUUAUAUAAAUAAAAGUUAGUUGCAAUUAUUUUA